rnacentral:rRNA from 1 species
UACGUAGGGUGCAAGCGUUGUCCGGAAUUAUUGGGCGUAAAGAGCUCGUAGGCGGUUCGUCGCGUCGGCUGUGAAAACCUGAGGCUCAACCUCAGGCCUGCAGUCGAUACGGGCGGACUUGAGUACUGCAGGGGAGACUGGAAUUCCUGGUGUAGCGGUGAAAUGCGCAGAUAUCAGGAGGAACACCGGUGGCGAAGGCGGGGUCUCUGGGCAGUAACUGACGCUGAGGAGCGAAAGCGUGGGGAGCGAACAGG